CAAAAUCAAAAGCACUCUUCCUUUUCUAAUGGAACAGUUCCCACCACAUCAUAUCUUCUACUGUUUCUCUUUUUAAUUUUGAGGGUUUCCAGAUUUAGGGUUCUUCUCCUUUUCUGUCUUCUUCACAAAACACACACACACAAACACAUACAUAUGAUUGAGAUUUCUUCAUAUCCCAUGUGUUGGAAGUGAUUCAAAUUGGAUUAAUUAUAAGGGUAAGGGAGGUGACAGAAGAGAGUGAGCACACAUGGUGUUUUCUUGCAUGAAUCUUUCUACAUGCUUGAAGCUAUGUGUGCUCACCCUCUCUCUGUCACCCCACCACUUCUCUCUCUCUCUCUCUCUGUCACACACACACACACACACAAAAUGCAAUCUUGUUUUUGUGCAGUUUUGAUGGUGAAUGGUGAUGAUAUGUUUUUAUCUGUUUGCAUCUUUUUUGCUAAAUUGAGGGCAGAUUCAAAGAGUUAGGGUUUCUUGAGGUGUUGCAGAAUUUUAGAUCUAGAGAGUUGUUUCUAUGUAGGUGCUAAUUGAUCUAUAAUUCUCUUAAUUAUGCUAAUUUUCUUGAUAAUUAUCACAUUUGUGUGUGUGUUUCUAGAAAUCAAAGGUCCACUCAGACAUAAAUAUGUUAGUCACAAUCUUGCAUCAAAUUCAAACAGUGUGUUGUUUUUGCAAUUUUUCUUGCAGCAGACUAAGGUUGACAUUAUUAGUUUCUAUAAUAAGUGGUCUAGUGGGGAGUUAUUAUUGUGUUCUUGAAAAUGGGGGAUAUUAUAUUUAUUUACUAUAUAUUUUUUGUUUGAGGGAUUAUGGAGGUUUAUUAUUUUUCAUGCAAGUUUUAAGUGAGAUUUAAUUUGGUCUAGUUUAUAACUCAGUUUCUUUUGACUAUUUUUUACAUUAUUUUUUGCCUUUGUAUAUUAUCACAAUUCACAAACAUCCUUUGCUCCACUGUCAGUGUAGAAGAUGUUGACAUGAUAUAGUAUACUGCUUUGCCUCUCUCUCUCUCUCUCUCUCUCUCUCUCUCAUUUCUAAGUUUGUGAUAAUUUGUGGUGUGUGGUGAAUGGAGAUGUAGUGCUUUUAUGUGAGGAAUUUCUUCUAUUACAGAUCUAAAAGUGAUCAAUAUAUGUGGAUAUGUAAUUGUUAUUACAUGUGUAUUUCAAGCUGUAACACUGCAAGAUCAGUAAUUCUACUUAGCUUGAUCAGGUCAUUUAAGUCUAUUUAUGCACUCACACACACACACACAUCAUUUAUACCUUUCAUUUGCAGAUUUUGUUGUGUGUGUAAAUAAAGAAAACAGUUUUUUAUUUGAUAUAUAUGUUUGUUGUUUUAAGGGGUGUUUAUUGUUAGGAUGUGUUCUCUUUGUUGUAUGGAUAUAAAAGUUAUUUUCCCUCAUUUUUCUAUAAUAAAGAAUUUCACCAUUUCUUUUACUUUUUUUUUCACUAUAAGGAGGGAUAAUAUUAUCACACAAAUAUCUCGUGAUAAUAUUGUUUCUUCUUGAAGUGAAAAGGAGGAAGAAGAAAUGUUGAAAUUCAUUUUGUAGAAAGUGAGGAUAGAAAGAUGGAUUUAAAGGGUGAAAAAAUUUGUAUCUGUCAUUUUUCAUGAUAAAUUUGCAAUCAAAGAGAACGCACCCUUAUGGAUUAUUCUACAUAGGUUAAAAUAGUAAGGUUAAUCCCUUGUUUAGAUGGUGUUUGGCUAAGUUUAUUAUAAGCUCUCAGAGCUUAUAAGAGUUUAUAAGAUGUAGCUUCUUAAGAGCUUAUAAGUUGUCAAAGUGUUUGGUUAUAUUGAACUUAUAAGCUAGAGAGAGAAUUUUUAGUUGGUGCGAGAGAAUUGAAGAAAAAAUGAAAUUAGAAUGAUAUAUGAUGAAAAUAAAAAAUUAUAGUUGAAUUAUUUUUUGUAAAAUGAGUGUUGCUUAUAAGAAAAUAAGUUGGGGUAGAUGAACUUAUUUUUUUGAGAGCUUAUAAACUCUUAUAGCUUAAUUUUACAGCUUAUAAGCUUUUUAGGAGCUUAUUUUGCCAAACAGCUUAUAAUCUUUUUAAGAGUUUAUUUUUUGCCAAACACUUUGAAGGAGCUUAUAAGCUGUUUUAAAGAGCUUAUAAGCUCAGCCAAACACGAAUUGAAAUUUUGGAAUAUAUCUCAUGGAUCACCUUGAUAAUCUCUAUCAUUUGAAUUAGUUUUGCAUGAUGCAUAUCCAAUUGAAAAUGGAAAUUGGAGUAUAAAAUUAUUUAGUUAUGUAUCUUAUCAAUCAUGCUAAAUUUAACCUCAUAUAGCCAUGUUCCUGAAUAGUGCUUUGCUUUCUUUGCUCUCUUUAACUAAUUGCAACUAUAAAAUCUGCUGCCUGCAGCUAUCUGCUUUUACUUGGAUUCCUCAAAAUUUUACCUUUCUUUGUAGAUGAUGGUAUUGUGGUUUCUUGUUGAAGGAAAGCUAACAAUGAAGAUGUUUAACAAGAUCAGUAAAGAUAAAGCACACAUUUUUCACUGUUAAAAAAGGUAGUGCCAAAACACUUCCUAUUCAUCUCUGCUAGUCCCAAUCCCUUCAUUGUAUAAUCUAAUUUCUCCGUUAACCCGUCUCAGAUCUAAUGCUGCAUGGUUGCCUCAACUGCAGACGAGGGCGAGAUUCACUUAAGAGAGCUGUUUAUAUGCAUAAAGAUUGCAGUUAGCCAACAUGAAGAGGCGGCAAACAUGAGGAUGGCGAUGGCUUCUCCUUUCUGUGGAGACCGGAGUAGCAGUUGCACGAUGAUGAAUAGCUACCUGCACAGAUGAACAGGUCGAAUUCGUUUAGAACUCAGCUCUUUUGUUUCUUGAUGAAUUGCUUGCAACAAAUAUGUGUUGUCUCUCAGUUGAGACUCUUAAAUAUACACACUGCAUAGCAUAUACAAACUUUACAGCCAUAAACAAAAGUGAACAUUUCUGGGCAUAUAAUUAGUGCAGCAGUUUUCAUCUUGAUUCGUAUCAUACUAUCAACUACUCCUCUGUUCCAGACCAUCAAAUACGCGAAUCUGCUAUGUCGUCUCCACCAUGAACUCAAGAGAAAAUAAUGAUAGAGAAAUGCAGGGCCUAUCUUCUUUGUCUGAAAAUGAUGCUUCAGUCUAAUUUAUGCUUCAUUUCUGUGACAGAAAAGACUGGCCUUCUAUCCUCACAAGGCAGCCAUUGAUCAAGAAAACUCGACAAAGAGCCUUCUUCGCUUAUCUUAAGGAUGAAAUCACGAGCGAGGCUGUCUGAAGCAUCAUCGUUUUCUUCAGUUAACAACACCAUGAAAACUCUGCAUACUGUUUUGCCAGUUUAUCAAAUAUUCAAAGAGAAGCCUCUGGUCUAAAUCAUCACAAUGUAGGGUUCACAAACAAGCCUUCAAAUGUGCAGAAAAUAUUCAAGAUUCAGAGGAAUUCAUCUUAAUCUUCAACCUCAUAGAAACAAUGGGGGUUCAGAUGUAGGAAUCACCAUUCGCAGUGUUGUUCCAUUUAGUUAUUAGCAAUAAAUUUAUUGUUACUUUUUCUCCCCUUCUCUUUUUUACAACAAUUGAUUAGCAGUCAUGAGUUUUCUUGUUUGUGGAAAUGAUGAAAGUCUAGUAGUUUUCACCUCCAAUAACUAUUGCUUUUCACAGCAUAUCCAAAUGAAUCUUUCAAAUCACAAUUAC